AUUAGGAUCCAUUAGAAACAUAUAAUUAACCAUACGUAAAAUAUUUAAUCCUCAUUAAUAAAUAAGGUAAAUUGAUCUUUUCAAUCCUCUUGUAUUAUUUGUGUUGGUAGAAAAAAAAUGACCGCUGGAGAUUUUUUGAAAGAUAUUUUUGUAUAAUUCUAACAAUUAAAACUUUUGAAGAGAUAUAUUUGUAAGGAUAAAAAUAUCAUUUUGUUUAUUUUCGGUUAAAAAAAAAACAUUGUUCUAAUAAUAACUAAUUAGAGAGACAAAUAUGAAUAUUUCUGGACUUUUGCCGGGAUAAAUAUGAAAAAUUAAACUUUACAGAAAUAUAUUUGCUAUUCGAUAUAAAUAUAUAGAGAGCUAUAUGAAAUUAAUCCUAAUUAAAAAUACUGUAUAAUUAAUUAACUAUACA
rnacentral:lncRNA from 1 species